rnacentral:miRNA from 1 species
AAUAUGGAGUUAGGGAGUGAAGGAGUUAUGGAGUGAAGACAUCACGGACAAGAAAACUGGUUUCAACUCCAUGCCUCCCCCCUGAUUGGCAGAACAAUUCCCAGCCAUUCGUCUUCACUCCAUACCCCCAACCAUUUGUCUUAACUCCAUAACUCCCUCACUCCAUAACUCCAUGUC